rnacentral:ncRNA from 1 species
GGUUAUGACGCCAGUCGUAUCGCCGGGUAGCUAUAUACGGAAGAGAUAACCGCUGAAAGCAUCUAAGCGGGAAACUCGCCUCAAGAUGAGACUUCCCUGGGGAUUCGAUCCCCCUGAAGGGUCGUGGAAGACCACCACGUUGAUAGGUCAGGUGUGGAAGCGCAGUAAUGCGUUAAGCUAACUGAUACUAAUUGCCCGUGCGGCUUGAUCCU